AUUGCUUGGUUUAUUUUUAAGUAAACUCUUCUUCAUGUGGUCAAGCUGGUGACUUGAGAAAAAGCAGGAGGAAACUGUGUGCAGCACCCAGUGGCCAAGGACAGCCUAGGGUUUGCUCUAGGUCUGCAGUGCUGGGGAGAGCUCUCCUAUUUCUUUGGUGCUUUUCCCUAGUUUUAUGACUGCAAUUCAGACAUCUCCUACAAACAGUAUCACUAAAAGAGCCCUAAGAAUUUUAUUUUGAACAAAAAUUAAGAUUCUGACAUUUGGAGUUGGGCCAUUGAAGAAACCCCCUACAACUUACUCCUAGGAAAAUCAAGGAUUGACAGCUUGUCCUCUUCAAUGAUACACUGAUGUGCCCCCAGGCAGUCAGGAGGACAGUGGAAUUCUUCAGCACAAACAGCCUGGUCAUCUCAAAACUGCUCAGGGACUUGGACAGAUGUCACAGCAGAAGGAAAUGCCCUUCCUGAGAGGAAUCAACGAUGGUGUCACUUCUUAACCUAAUGGGCUUCAACAACAAACCAUUGCCAAAUCUUCAGCACCUCUUAACAUGUUGCAUACCAGUAGAGAGGCAGUUGAAAAAAAAAAUCUGUCAGAAUUACAUUAGCAGGAGCUGAGUUCUUUUGGAUACCUGGCCUAACUGGUGUGAAAUAAACAGCCGAAAAAUCCAGCCCUGAGCACCUUAAAACCUUUGUUUUUUGACAUGAGGCAAUUCCCAGAGAUGGUCCUGAAAAUAACUUUCAUUGCCUUCAGAAGGAUUGUGAUAAUGCCAUUAGCACCCCAGCUGCUUUUCUUCCUGUCAGUGAACACAUAUAUGUGGGAAUUGCCCGCUGAAUUUUUUGAACAUCAAACUUGCAUCAAUUAAAUAUCACAGUGUACUGGGA